GGUUGUUGUUGUUGUUGUCGAAGUGAAAGUUGAACAAACCAUACAUAUCAGAUAAUAUACGAUUGGUCAUUGAAUCCUGGAUCGUGAAGAUUAUUUUUCCCCCCAUCAAAGGUCAAUGGUCUUGAAGAAUUAUUUUCAAAAUAGAUCAAUGACCGUAAUCGUCUA